CUCCCUGCUCGGUGGGAAGCCUGCUUCUCCCUCCCCCACUCCCCCUGCUUGUGUUCCCUCUCUCGCUGUGUCUCUCUCUGUCAAAUAAAUAAAUAAAAUCUUUAAAAAAAAAACCAACAACAACAACAAAAAACAAAUAAAAUGCUUGCCAGGGAGGGAAACUCUGGUGCUGAAUUCUAGAGUGGGAAAUGGAUCAUGAUGGCAAGGCUCUCGUAAGGAGAGUUAACGCAGGAAGGGGCUGGGAUGGUGAGAGCAACUGGAGCUUGGGAGAGCCCCUUAAAAGCAGUUGCUUUUGCCUGGCACUGAAGGAAGAGAGAAGAACUUGCUGUGCAGAAAAGCCCAAGGCCUGAGAGAUAGAGGAGCAGACCCUGCUGGCAGGCCACUCCUUUCCCUUGGGGAGGCAGUAUGGCUCAAGGGGUCUGGGACUUGAGUUUGGCCACAGUUGGCUUCCCCUUGAAGUUCAGCCCAGCCCUGGUCUGGCUCUGUGCCCCGGUACCCUAGGGUGCUCUUUGGCAAAAUGGGGAUAAUGGUAUAUUUGAAGGUUACUGAAUUAACAUUUUGGCUGAAUAGACUGCAUUUUUAAACCAGGAUUUGCACAAGACUAAAACUAAAUGCAUCAUAGAAUGAAUUUCUGGGAUAUAAAAAGAAAUGAGUAAUGUCAUCCAGAUAAUUUAUAGUAUUAUUACAACUUUAUUAAGAUGUUUAGCGGCCAAAAAUUUUAACCAGUAUCUUAAUAAGUGGAUGUUUUCUUGCAGUAUUUGAAAAUAUCUUUAUAGGAAAUGGUUAAAUGGUAUAGUCACAGGAGGACCAGAAAUGCUUCAACAAAAGUAAUUAGCAUAUCAACUUUCAGUUCUUAGUGCAGAUUUUGAAUUUAUAUGCUUAUCAAUUACCUUUGGAAAGAGUUACAUAUCACUGUAACAGAAUUGCCAGUUUGUGUGAAUUCUUAAUCAAAUAGCUCUCAACAGAAUGAUAUAUGUACUGUUAGUUCAUAUAUAUGGAAUAUAUAUGUUAAUUUUAACUUUUUACUUUGAGAUAUUUUCAGACCUAGAGAAAGUACAAAAUAGUACAAAGAAUUCCCACGUAUUUUCCUCUAGAUUUCCCCAAACGUUAGUAUUUGCUGUAUUUUCUUUAUCUUUCUGUUUUUCCAUAACUUUUUUUCUGAGCCAUUUGAGAGUAAGUUGCAAAUACAGUGCUCCCUUACUCCUAGGUAACUUCACGCGUAUGUCCUAACACCAAAGACAAUAACCACAAUGUGGUUAUCAAAUCAGGAAAUUAACAUAGACCUAUUGUCUCAUCUAUAGACCUUAUUCAGAUGUUGCUACUUGUCUUUAAACUGUCUUUUGGAGCCAAAGAAACAUUUAAAAGAAUUUGGGGGGCGCCUGGCUGGCUCAGUCCAUGGAGCAUUUGACUCUUGAUCUCGGGGUUGUGAAUUCAAGCCCUACAUUGGAUGUAGAGAUUACUUAAUAAAAUCUUCAAAAAAAACCCCCCAAAACAAAAACGAAUUUGGGGGAGGUGUCCAGGAUGAGCCAAGGUCAUGUGUUACACUUGGUUGUAUCUGUUUAGUGUCCUUCAGUCUAUAACAGAUCUUUUGUCUUGUGUCUUUUACAUUCUUUUGAAGAUUACAGGCACUUAUUGCGUAGAAGGACCUUGAAUUCUGCUUUUUUUUUUUUUUUUUUUCAGAUGUUUCUUCAUGAAUAGAUUCAGGUUCUAUAUUUUAGGCAUGAAAACUACGUAGUUGCUACUGUGUCCUUCUCUGCUUCUCAUGAGGCACCAUCUAUUUUUCCUGCUACAGUUGAUGUUAAUUUUGAUCACUUGGUAAAAAUGAUGUCUGCCAGGGUUCUCCAAGGAAGUUACUAUUUUUUCUCUUUGUAGUUAAUAAGUGUCUUGUUGGAAGAUACUUUGUGACUAUGUAAAUAACCCGUUUCUCAUCAAAUUUUCAUCCAUUGUUUAGUAUCCAUUGAUGUUUCUUGCCAAAACAAUUAUUACUUUGUAGUGGCCAAAUUGAUGGUCACAUUUUGAAAGUUUGACAUUGUAGUGGAAGAAUGAUAAUUUUACAACUCUAUAAAUGCCUAGAUUGUUUCUGUGAUGCUCUACUGCAUAUUUGUGAAUACUAAGUGAGAUGAAGGAACAAGAUCUUUUUGGUCCAUGGGGGACCAAAAAAAAUGAGUGUUGGGGUUUUUUUUUUUUUUAUGACAGUUUCUUAUUUUCAUAGUUUUCAUCAUCUUUAUUAUGCCUGGAUCAUAGGUGAUUUAUCAUGAAAGUGUGGUACAUGAUUUUGAAAUCUUGUGAAAUAUUGAGGUAGCAAAGUUGACAUUCUGCUCUGCACUCUUCAUAGGAUGUAAAUAACUUCCUAAUUAGGUUUUUAGGUUUUUAUCUGAUGACUCCUGUGGAGUUCCUCACAGACUGGAUUUUGUUAAAUGCAACCCUGUGAUGUCCUGUAACAUGUUUUUGUCCGUUGUAGUUCCUGAAAAUUGUUAGCUGGAUUUAGAUUCUUUUCUUUUUUCUUUUUUUUUUUUAAUUUGAAAAUCUAUUUGGCUUUAUUAAGUGAUUUAUGAUUCAGGCAGCAUCCCAUCCAGCAAGUAGGGGAGUUCCCUGGAUUUAGAUUCUUGAUCAAGCUUCAGGGUUCUCUCUCUUUUUCUCUCUCCUUUUUAAUUUAUUUUUAAAAGUCUCUUUCAUAAAUGGUGUCUUUAUAUUAUGAAACACUUAAGGUCUGGUUGUCUGUGAAAUUAGCAGCCACCAAUGAUCAUCACUCACAUCCAUUACUUCAUUAGCAGUUUCAAAAUGGUGAUAGUCUAUUUGUGUCAUGCCUUCUUCAUCUAUCAGCUAUACUGUUUUUUUUUAAAGAUACAUUUAUUUAUUUAUUUUUAAGAUUUUAUUUAUUUAUUUGAGAGAGAGAGAUUGAGAGAGAGCACAUGAGAGGGGGGAGGGUCAGAGGGAGAAGCAGACUCCCUGCCGAGCAGGGAGCCCGAUGCAGGACUCGAUCCCGGGACUCCAGGAUCAUGACCUGAGCCGAAGGCAGUCGCUUAACCAACUGAGCCAUCCAGGCACCCCUGCUACUUAUUUUUAUAAAGUUUCAUUAGAACACAGCCAGGCUCAUUCGUUUGCAUAUUGCCUCUGGACGCUUUUGCAAUACAAGGGCUGAGGUGAGUAGGUGCCAUUGAGUCUAUAUUUGGCCCACAGAACUGAAAAGAUAUGGCCCAGUACAAAAAAGGUGUGCUGACCCCUGUAGAUCAUAUGGGGAAAGCAAUUUAAAUGCUUGAUUCUUUCCCUUUAUUUACUAGUUUUCCGUUUGGUUUCUUAUAACCUGCAAAGGUGACCAAUGAAAUUAUGUUUUAAAAUAUGAACUCAGGGAUUUCAACCUAUUUCCUGUGUUUCAAUCCAUUUGUGAGUAUUAUUCUUAUUGAUACUCCAAUUGUUUCAUCUUUAGCUGGUGGAAGCCUCUUCCCAUUGGCUCCUGAGUCCUUUUGACACAAUCCCAGUGGUCUUUGAUGCUUCCUUGCUUACUGUUAUGGGAGGACAUUCCAGACUCAUCUUGUGCUUUUCCCCCUUCCAGAUCAGCUAUUUCUAGAAGGAGCUCUGAUUCCUUUUAGUGAAAUAUGUUAUUUAGAGACCAUAGUCUGCUAAGGGUGCAUAUAUAGUUUCUAAAGGUUAUUCCAUUUAAUGUUAUGAGCACACCACGCAAUCAUAUAGAGUUUAGAAGUAGAAUAUAGUAUGCCUAUUACAACUUAAAAAUAUUGAGAAACACUUGCUCAAAAAGUAUAUGCUAUUGGGCGCCUGGGUGGCUCAGUUGGUUGAGCGACUGCCUUCGGCUCAGGUCAUGAUCCUGGAGUCCCAGGAUUGAGUCCCACAUCGGGCUCCCUGCUCAGCAGGGAGUCUGCUUCUCCCUCUGAUCCUCCCCCCUCUCAUGUGCUCUCUCUCUCUCUCUCUCUCUCAUUCUCUCUCUCAAAUAAAUAAAUAAAAUCUUAAAAAAAAAAAGUAUAUGCUGUUCUUUUUAAAUGUACUCUUAAUAUUAGUAAUGCAGUUAACUAAUCCUAUUUAAGAACUGUAGUUGUACAUUGUAAUUGUUUUCUAUGUAAGAUUAAUGUUUCAUGCUUAUAUUGUAUUCUUCCAAAAAAAAAUAACAUACUUCUGCCACUGAUAACAUUUCUAGAGAUAAAGCUCACAAGGAUAUUUCCAUUAAACUUUACAUGUAGAAUGUUUCCCUGGGGACAUCUGGGUGGCUCAGUCGGUUAAGCAUCUACCUUUGGCUCAGGUCAUGAUCCCAGGGUCUUGGGAUCAAGUUCCGCAUUGGUUCCUUGCUCAGCGGGGAGCCUGCUUCUCCCUCUGCCUGCCACACCCCCUGCUUAUGCUCUUGCGCUCUCUUGCUCUCUCUCUCUGACAAAUAAAUAAAAUCUUUAAAGAAAAAAAAAAGAAUGCUUCCCUGUUUCUGAAGCGGCAUGUUCAGAUAAUGAUGAUGAAUUCAAACAUGCUUCAUUUCCUUAUUUCUCACAUUGUUACAUUAAUUAAAUAUGUUGGUCACCCCUGUGACCACAUGAUUAUUGACCAGGCAGAAAUUCAGGCCUGAAGAUUGAAGCUGAAGCUGAAUAACAGAUGUCGAUUGAAUGCUGAGGCCAAGGCCAUAUUCUGAUAUAUUCCUAGGACCUACCUCAUAGUUGCAAAGAUGAAAUAAGGUUGUACACAAGCAUGAAGAACAUUGUCUGGUACAGUAAGGGCUUUGUUAAGGUAAACUCAUUAUCAGCAUCAGCAGUCCUGGGUUUUCCGGUCCUCCCUAGCCCCUGUAAAAUUUAGUCUUUAUACUGUACCAUUCCCUGGGCACUUAAUGAUACUCACUCAGUUUUGGAUUGCUACUUUUCUAGAAUCCAUGUUCUUAAGGACCCUGGCUGUCAACUGUCCCUUUUGAUCACUGUCACCCCUAGCACAGUACUUUAUACACAAAAUCUGCACAUGUGUAUUUGUUAUUUAUUUAUAUUUCCUUCUUUAUGCAUCAUAUAUAAGAAAAUAAACAGCGGGCGCCUGGGUGGCUCAGAUGGUUAAGUGUCUGCCUUCGGCUCAGGUCAUGAUCCCAGGGUCCUGGGAUCGAGUCCGACAUCAGGCUCCCUGCUCCUUGGGAGCCUGCUUCUCCCUCUGCCUCUCUCUCUCUCUCUCUCUGUCUCUGUCUCUCAUGAAUAAAUAAAUAAAAUCUUUAAAAGAAAAGAAACAGCAAAAUUCGUCUUCCUCAUGGACGUUGUAGGCUAACAAGGGCGAUCAUUGUUCACUUCUGGUAUCUUUCAGGGUAUAAUCUUUGAUAACUUGAUCAUUGGUGGUUGAUCAUUUUUAUUUUACUUUUUUGAAGGUUUUCUCAAUUUAUCUCAGUAUUGAGGCUGUGCAUACAUCUUUUUUGGGGUGGGGAGGGGCGAAGGGAGAGAGAAGAGAGAGAAUCUUAAGCAGGUUCCACACCCAGCACCGAGGCCAAUGCGGGGCUCCAUCUCACAGCCCUGAGAUCAUGACCUGAGCCGAGAUCAAGAGUCAGACGCUUAACCAACUGAGCCCCUAGGUCUACAUGCAUCUUUUAACAAAUAAAGCAGAUGUCUGUGCUGGAGGUAGACCUUUGAUUCUGGCCCACUGGUUUGUAGCUGUGGGUUUUCCUUCAUCUGUGAUACUGGGAGUACGUCAGCAGUUGUGGAAGCCAUAUGUUUUUAUAGGUCUGUGCCAAAGAAAAUACUUUAGAAUUACAUUAGCAACCCCAAGGUAUUUUGGCUGUUCUGAGAGGACACGUAGUUUUCCAGUUAUAUGAACAAGAGCUUUUGUUUCAUACGGAAGGUUCUUGUAGGCUACGAGAACAAUAAUGCCACUCAGCGUUUCCCAGAGUAACAUCCUUGGGAUGUUAAUAGGUAGGACAGAACUUCUGGGGCUGUUAACACGCCAAUGUGUACCAUGAAUCUCUUACAAGGGAGUGCAUUGUGCAGUAUUCCUCCAACCCUGUGUUUGGAAUACUACCCCCUAACCCUCCCCCCACCCCCAGCAUGCGUGUCCCCUCCUGCUCUCUGCCUCCCAGCCUCAGAUGUGGUUCCUUGCUCCCUGUAUGUGAACUCCCUUUACUGUUGGGAAAGAGGUGGCCUAGUCUCUGGACACUUGUCUGUGGAUCCUAAACUUAGUGAAGAAGUCAGGGAGUGGGUCUCUUUUGCUCUCUAUUGUCUUUAUAGCACCAGGCAUCUAGAAGGCCCUCAAUAAGUAUUUGUUGGAUGAAUGAAGGAACCACAGAAUGCUUUAUUUCCAAAUGGCAUCUCAUGGGACUGGUGUUCCCCAAAACCCACUUUGGGAACAGUGGAUGGGUCUGGGCUACCAUUCUACUCAUGGCACUUCCUUGUCAGUGUGAGUAACUAGGAUUCUCUAGCUCUUCCUAGUUCUACUUAAUUUACUCCAUGCAUCAGCUAGCAGGGAACCAUCAGUGUACUUAAAGAGGAGGCUCAGCACUUGAAAUAACUUGUCUCCAUGGCACACAAGUGAAUCGGCCAGGAUUAGAGCCUUCGUUUCCUGAGGCCUGUCUUAGGGCCCAUUCUCCCAGCAUUAGUGACAUACAUAGGGACUAGUGUUCCAGAUUGUUAGGGGAGGGAGAAAUCAGAUGCCCCUCUGUACACUAAUUCAUGCAGGCAGAACAAAGGUCCAGCUUGGUUUUCAAGUUCAAGUUUGGCUUAUACGUGGUCCUUGGUGAAGAUUAUGAUCUUGGGCAAAUUAAAAACAAAUGUUAAAUAAGUCAUAAUAAGGUAGAGAGGGAGUUCAGGAUUCUCAUUUUUAAACACAUGGGGGUAAACAGACCUCUCCUUAAGGCAGACGUUUGCCUCCCCUCCUCCACUUAACCUCUGUCUUCCAUAUUUGUGACUACUGUUCAUUUUUACGGGUAGGUGUGUACACAUGGUCUCGUGUCCAUAGAUACACAAGCCUUGUCUACCAAGCCCCUAGCUCUUCUGAACUGGGAAAAUAGAAGUUUCAUCAAAUCUGGUAACACAUCAAGUCCGAGGGAAGCACACAUGUGGCAAGCUGCCCUCUUCCUUAAGAAUAACCCACAGCUGCCCGCUGCCCCAAGGCGGCUUCCUUUUCCUCAAGUAUCUCAAGGUGAGUGUGCAGGGAGGCAGCACACAGAACCCCCUGUGUUCUGCUCGCCCAGGCCGAGUUCCUGAGUACACUUUGGACUAGACCUGGGGAGCUUGGCCUGGCAAGUUUUCGCAGUAAAUAGGACUCUGUAUGUGCAAGCCAAAUUAAGUCUGCAGGCAGUCUUUAUGAGCACAGUAACUGUUUCACAGAUGUAAAGACGCUCCAGAGUACUGUGUAUGUUUGUGGCCUCGGUCCCCGUAAAGUUGCCUUGAGCACAUUGCAAGGACUCUGUACCUGGAGAGAGGGUUCUCCUCUGUUCUCACUCUGCUUAGCUCUUCACUCUCAGAGUGGGCAUCCUAUUAUUCCAUGUGGGUGCUGAUAAACACCUUAAAAUGUAUAGGAUGGAUGGUUCCUCACAACAAAAGAUUAGGUUGCUCCAAUAUCCAUUGUGCUGCAGUUGAAAACCCCGGUGUACAGACACAUGUUAUGUACACACGUGAAAUAAACUGUGUGAAUGUGUCUGUGUGUGUGUUUUAAAAAGGGACCUCGGAGAUGAGAGUUGGAUUUUAGUGACGGUCGAAAGAAACCGAGCCCAGAGGGGUGGAGAGAGUUGCUGAUUUCAUGGAGCCUACUGAGAAACAUAGAAGGACUGGUCCUUGAGUCCCUCUUCUGUCUGAAUAGAGCUUUGUGCAGUGAUAACAGUUUUAUUCUUUGAGUGUUCUCUGUGUCCCAGAGAAGUAUUGCAUACAUUCACUCAUUUAAUCCUAAGAAUGACCCUGUGGGUACUGUGGUUUUUCCUGCUUCAUUCUAGAGGAAACCAGACUUGUCUGAGGGUACCUAGCAUUCCAAGGGGCAGGGACUGGCAGAGAACCCAGAUUUGUCCCGCUCCUGUUAAGUGGCCACCUCCCACUGGGCCACACGGAUGGCGUGCGUGAGCUUGAGGGACGUGACCUGAGCAGUGAAGACUGGGUGACCCAGGGAGUUCCUUCCAGGAGUUGCAUUCUAAAGCUGUGGUUUGGAAAUGGUCAACGGUGCCAGAGCUUUGUCUCUAAGAAGGCUUGAGCUGUAGAACAGAACCCUGAGCAGUGCUAAGGCCUCUGGCUGGAGAGCAGGAACGCCUGCACCGCCCGGGGGCAUGGGGAGGGUUUGGGGGGCUGAAAGGGGCGGAAUGGGAGAGACCCUGACUGGCUUUCCCCGCCUUCCGCUCCUUUCUCCCACCUUCCCUGCUCAGGGGACGUCCUGGGGUUAGUAGGACGUGAGGGGCAAUUAGUGGUAAUUACUCAUCAUUUGCGUAGACAGGAGCAUGGUUUUAGAGGUGCCUUCUGGGACGAGAGAGGCUGGGGACCUCCUGUCAGAACGUUGCAUGGAGGACCAAGAGGAAAGCAAACAUCCUGUGGGGAGGAAGGAAGGUACAGAGCCAGCCUCCUAGGGAGGUCAGCUGUAGAUACUCGCCGGUGUGAGUGAGGUGCUCUGAACCCACUGGUAGUGCAGGCGGGAGACGGGGCAGCAGCUGGGGGACGCCACACGAGGAACUGACCAGUGGACAGACUUCCGUUUCCUCCUGUGUCCCCUCUGCCGUGGGUGCUUUGGACCUAGGCCAGCCGCUCUCCUCUGGGACCCCCUCUAUGCUUUUGGGUUUGGUGUCCAGACUCCAUGUGAAGCCGGGCUCUUUUAGCACUUUAUAGAUGUAUUUUGUUGUGAGGAGGUAUGAGCCUGUUUAAAAAUAAUUUCUGACCAAACCUUUUACUGAGAGAGGUUUGGCGGCAGAGAGAAAACCCACCUUGUGAGCCCUAAGAAAAACCAUUGAGUUUUGAAUUGCCAAAAUCACUGUUGUUUGGGCCAGGAUAGUUCUGGGGGAUGGUAGUUUUCCCAUCUCCUUUUGGAAAAAAAAAAUUUCAGGGUUUCUCUUAUUGAUGUAUCUUUCAUCUGUGUGUUGUGCUUUAAUAAAAUGUUGCUAUGCCUCUCUGUAAGUGGAUAAUUGAGCAGAAGAGCAUGCUAAUUUAUCUCUCAGCCAGCCCUGUGGUGAGGCCUGCUUCUUUGGAGAUGGUCCAAAACCAAACAGCCUCAACUCACCUGCUGAAGGGCCCCCUGGCACCAAGAUAGGCCGGAACCCCCGGCACGCCGCGCUGUCUGUUAGGGUGUUCUCCGUCCCAACAAAGCUCUCUGUUAUUGGAGACCCGCGCCUUUAAAUCAGACUACAUUUCCCUCCCUGGUAUAGACCGUCUUCCCUCAGGCCAGUUUCUGUCUCCGCCUUGGCUGUGAGGAUGUGGAAGCACAAUCGGGCUUUGUGGUGAGGAGCGCUUUGCAGAGCUCGGGAAGGUGGGGUUCAGCCUUGUAUAAAUAAAUAACAGCAAGCGAGCUUCAGGAAAAGGGGAUUCCUGGAAUGAGAGAGACUGGCGCUCGAGACAGGAAACUCUUCCUGGGGUUUCUGCAGCCUCUGCAGCUUCUCCGAGGCUUGUUGUCCUGCCUGUGGCUUCUGGGCGGCCCUGGAGCCUGCUGUCCUCCUCCUGGAGCCUCCUGGACUCCCUCAGUGCCCUGGACCACCCGCCAACCUCCGGGAACCUGGCUUGAGCCCCUUUCGUGGUCCAAAGAGAUGUGCUUUGCCCCUUGUGAGGCUCAACUGCAGCCUUGGUCCCGGGCCUGCCCCGCUUGGCUUUUCUUCACUCCUUGCAUUUGGGUUAGUGAUGUCCUCUCCAGAAGGAGCCGGAGACAAGAAGGGCAUAGCUGGCUGCCUGCACUCUGGAAGACCCGUUCCGUACGAAGGGAGGCUCACGCAUUCCUUCUGUUUUCCAUAGCACUGCCUGAACUCUGACUGGUUUCUUUUUUUUCUUUUAUAAAAUAUAUAUCACUACACCCAGUGCGGGGCUUGAACCCACGAGAGUUCAAGAGUCGCACACUCUUCUGACUGAGCCAGCCAGGCACCUCCGUCUGGCUGGGUUGUGUGUAGGCCUUUUGACAUCAGAGAUGGGAAAAGCCCGGGAGAAAUUAAAGCUCAUAUUUAGGCCUUCUUUUUUUUUUUUUUUAAGAUUUUAUUUAUUUAUUUGACAGACACAGCGAGAAAGGGAACACAAGCAGGGGGAGUGGGAGAGGGAGAAGCAGGCUUCCCGCGGAGCAGGGAGCCCGAUGCAGGGCUCGAUCCCAGGACCCUGGGAUCAUGACCUGAGCUGAAGGCAGACACUUAAUGACUGAGCCACCCAGGCGCCCCCAGUUUCAUGCCCUGUAACGCAUAUAGACUCAUGCAGCCACCGCUGCAGUUGCAGGUCCCUAAAAACUGCUCAGGCUACCCUUUUGUGGUUUACCCUCCCAUCCCUCUUUGCCCUGGCAACCACUGCUCUGUUUCUAACACUCUUCCCAAAGAUUUGUUGGCCACAUUAUGUGCAUCUUACUAGGAAUUUCACUGCCUACCGGUGUAAGAGAAAAACAUGAAAAUCAAGUCCGCUCUCUGGAAAGCCUCCCACCUUUCUUUGCCCUUUAUUCUGACUGCACUGACUCUGCCACCUACCAGCGCUCCUCCAGUAUGGACAAGCCAGCGUUAACCCAUCCUGCCUCCUCCCCACCUGCCUCAGCCGUGUCUGCCGCAUGACAUUUUUAUCUGUUCCAUCCCUGUGUUCCGGCUUACGGUAAACACUUCUCUUAGCCCAGUGCUUCAAAACUGUGUGUGAUAAGAAGACACAGAUGCAUUCAAAGUGUUAAAGGAAUGCUGUCAAUAAUAACAACCCUAAGCUAGAGACUGCCCAAGGAAGAAAGAGGAGUUUGAAAAAACGAACACAGGAAACUCUUAACAGUGGAUUUGAGCCCAUCUUUUAUUUUUGAAGUCUUGGUACAUCUUAAGAAAGUUAAGAGGCUUAAUUUUGUUCCUGAGGAUCAUUUACAAACAGCAUCGAGAACCCACAGCUCAUUGCUGUUGAAUCGGUGUAGGACAGGGGUGGUUGUCCAGGUCUGUCUGGCCUCUCGUUGCAGGUAUGGAAGACUUAGGACCAGACAUGUGAUCCAUCAGCGCACAGCCGUGAAUGCCCCUGCUGGGCUAGCUUUGGGGAAUAUGCCAGUGUCCUUCUAGCAAAGACUUUGCCAUCCACUUGGCUCACAAAAAAUCUACUUCCUCAGCCUGCCCAAGCGCCCCCGGAGCGCUGUAACAGCUUCACCCCAUGAGAGACUUUUCCCAUUAAAUCAGGUGUUGACGUCAGUGUCCCGGCUACGUUGCAGGUGCCCAAUAUCCUGGUGAAAUUUCAGAUUCUUAGAUACUUGGGAGGCUUGAAUGAACUCAGGGUAUUUUUUAGCAUGCAUAAAGUCUGUAAAAUGGGAUUUGGAUGUUUGGGUUUUGGUGCCAGAAUUUGAUUGGCCCUUGUGGGAGGGGCACAGACAUGGGGAGAAGCUGAGCUGUAAGCGAGGGGAGGUGCCCCUGGGGGGGUGAGUCCCCUGAGCUCCAGGCCCUCCCUCGGGCCCCGGGGGCUUGCCCUUCCCACCUCCUGGCCGCAGAUGGCUCCCGUCAGAGGAAGGGAAUGACUUGUGUGUGCUGAGGCUGGUCCCCUGUGGUGGUGGUCUUCAGCCUGGGGAGCCCGGUUAACAUGUGAAGCACUCAGGCCAUAACAGGAAGCCCCUGUUUGUGCUCUUGAACAUAUUGUGUCUCUGUGCAAGGGUGAGAACGAUUUUCCACACUGUGGGCCCAAGACUGGCGGCUCCUUAGCCAGGUUGGUGUCUAGACCCUGGCCUGAGAGGAGCCAGAGCUGGGCCUGGCUGCAUCCUUAUAGGAACUCAAGCUCCCGGUGGCCAGGCCGAGCCUGGGCUGGGAGUCAGGUGAGCAGUCCUAGGUGGGAGCCAGAGGCCGAGGGUCUCACAGGUAGGCCCCACAAGGCAAGCCAGUGGUGGGCCAUAGUCCUGGCGGACUGCCCUCAGAAACAGAAGUUUGGAGAUCACAGCUUUGAGAUAGCCCCAAAGGUUGAGAAUUACUGGCCCAUCAGAACUCCCUGGAGGCCCCCUCCCCCCCCUUUUUUUGAAAGGACACAUGCCUGACCCAUGUGCCCAGAAUCUCUAGAUCUUGGGACCCUGGCACUUGUAUUUAUUAAAAGCUCCCCUUUAAACGGUGGUGCAUAGCUGGGUUGAGACCCCCCUGCCUCGGGCAGUGGUAGGGUCUGCAGGCUGCUCUGUGGCUACAGACGGAAGGCAGCCCCAGCAGGAAAGUCGGAGAGCAACAAAGUCGGGCCCUGCCUUACCUCAGCCGGGCUACCCCUUGUUACCUACCGGAUUCCCAAACCAGUGCUAUUCAUGUGUGCUUGGUCUCUGCACGGCUUUGUCUCCUCUGCAUCUAACUAAACUAAAAUCAUCUCAGUUCAUGGACCAAGCCUCCCCGUGCUCUUCUGUUCUCACAGAAGACAUUCUGGUUUCUCCUUUAAGAUGAUCUCUGGGGGCACUUUCUGUUUCCGUGGGGGUGGCUUGCCCUCCUCACUUGUGGCACUCCUCACUUCAAUAGCUGUCAGCUUGUUUCUGGAUCCUUUUUUGAGUUCCUGGCGUGUAGGAACUUCCUAACCAAAUCUUAUUAAAUUGAUGUUUUAAUGAAAGGCAUUUUUAACUCCCUUCCCUCUCUGCCACCACCCCCCCUGUUUAUCAGAAUUACUCCUCCACUCAUACCCAAUAAAGGCCGCCAUAGACUGGACCUGUAAGAAACCAGACCCGAGGCCAGCCCCAGCACGCUCCUGAGAACCACUAAGAUAAACACAAAAUGCACUCUCGCCGAAUUCUGAGAAGGAAAGGCCCUCAAAGGUCAUAGGGUCCAGUGGCUCUCAACCCUGGCUGCACAUUAGAAUCAUCUGGGGAGCUUUUAAAAAAUGUUCAUGCCCAGCCCCCACCCCCUGAGAUUUUGAUUCAGUUGGUCUGGGGUGGGGCUCAAGCUUGCGUGGAAUUUUCUUAAAAGCUCCCCAGGGGCUUCUACUAUGCAGCCAAGUUUGUAAACCACUGCCCUAGGCCAAAACUCCUCACAGGAUAUUUGAAUGAAAGGAUUACAAAGAUCCCUGCCUGCUGAGGGGGUAGCCCCCCAGUAAGUCCGGGGCUGGUGAGAGAGUCACCAACAGUGCACUCCUGGAUUCCCUAAGCCCCUUCCAUCCUCCAGUCUUAGCCUCCAAAAGACUGGGCCUUGGACCAUCCCUCCUUCCCAGAGACCAGAAGCAGACUCUGAAUAGAAUCUAAUUUUAAACCGAUGAGUGGAACCAGAAGGAGACGUGGUUUGAUGGGCUCUGAAUUAAGAUCUCCUUUUCCCAGGCCAUAUAUUUGACUUCAUAUAUUGUAUUAGUUCGCUAGGGCUGCCAUAACACAGGACCCCAGAGUGGGUGGCUGACCCAACAGAAAUGUGCUCCCUCCCAGUUCUGGAGCCUGGGAGUCUGAAAUCAAGGUGUCAGAGGGUCGGUUCCCUCUGGGGGCUGUGAGGGGAGGCUCUGCUCCGGCCUCUCUCCUUGGCUCUCAGAUGGCUGUCUUCUCUUCUGUGUCUCUUCACAUUGUCUUCUCUCUGUGUGUGUCUGUCCAAAUUUCUCCCUUUUGUAAGGACACCGGUCCUAUUGGAUUGGGGCCCACCCUACUGACUUCAUUUUAACUUGAUUCCCUCAGUGAAGACCCAUCUAAGGUUCCAUUCUGAGGUACUGGGCGGGGUGGGGUGAGGACUUCGGCAUAUCUUUUUGGAGACCUGUACAAUUCAGCCUGUAACUAUUAUCAUCUAAGCUUUCUCCCUUAACUACAGCUUUUAAUGGGUAGACCCGCGUAUUUUUCUUUACACCCUUACAUUGCUCAGAGCGCAGAGCUCCGGGGCUGGUUGAUUAUCAGCAUUCAGCACUAAUUUCCUGACAAACUGACUUCUGUUCUCCUGGUCCUGGGUACACUUGGAGGAUGAUGGUUUACGUUCAGGCUCCCCCAGCGAUGGGUAGAAUUCCUCUAAUUUCCUCACAGUGGCAGGAGCUGCUGAGGGCCUGAAAGGAGAGGUGAGCUAUGAGGGGCGGGCCUCCCCGGCCCCAGAUAAAGGCAAGUCACAUGCUGAUGUUCCCCCUUGGUUUGAGUGGAUGCAUUUAUUUAUUUUAUUUUAUUUUAAAGAUUUUAUUUAUUUAUUUGACACACACAGAGAGAGCACAAGCAGGGGGAGCGGCAGGCAGAGGGAGAAGCAGACUCCCCGCUGAGCAGGGAGCCAGAUGCGGGACUCGACCCCAGGACCCUGGGAUCAUGACCUCAGCCAAAGGCAGACGCUCAACCGACUGAGCCACCCAGGCGCCCAAGUGGAUGCAUUUAGGCUCUGGAGGAGAGGGCCCAUGUUGGGCGAUGGUGGUUCUUUGGAAGGUGCAGACAUUAUCAUUGGUAACCAGGUUAGGGAGUCGUGACAAGGGUGUGAAGAAGAGGCAGUGUUUCAUUCCCGUGGAAGUUCUUUGUCAGCUGCUUACUCUAGAGGCCGUUCUUCCACAGACAGAAUUCAGGCAGGCUCCAAACACUUGGAUGGAGAAAAAUCACACUUCAUUCUCACCAGCUGAAAAAUUGCAUUUCCUUCAAUUAUGAAUGGAGACAAGAAACCAUAGUGACAUUAGCCGUACCUGUGACCACCACCAGUAGGAACUGCGGGGAUUUUUUUCCAAUCUGUUGGAGUCAUUGUCGAUAUUUCUCUAAGUUUCGUUAGCCUCGUCACUGCUUCAGAAUUGAGGUGGUUAUGAGACUCACGGCUAGGUCUUAUUUAAUAUGUUAAUUAAAUAUUACCACAGCAAAAAUUUUUUAAAUAUUUUGAUAACUGCAAUUUACCAUAAUUGGCUUCCUUUGGAAUGCUAUGGAUUUAAUUUGUGCAUUUAACGCCAUUCUGUGGAAGGUCUGCAGGCUUCCCCAGGCUGCCAAGGGGGUGGUGGUGGGGGGGAUGUCUGUGGCAUUAAAGAGGUUAAGAAGCCUUGGUUUGUGUUUGUAAUAACCACUUCCUGUCCCCAUUCGGUGGGUAAAUCCUAUCAAUGGAGAUAAUUCUAGAUCGCAGUCUUGACAAUCACUGAUUUAGUUGAUGUUUAUAUCCUUUAUUUUUGGCUCCUUGGAGCUAAGCCCUGUGUGCAUGUGCACUCACAUGGACUUGGAUUUGUCUUCUUUUUAAAGAUGACAAGGAUUAGGGAAACAUUUUAGAACAAGCCCAGCUUUAAAUAUGCCCUCCAGUGCUGUUGGGUCCUGCUUGGGAAAGCUGUUCUCUGUCUCUGCCAGUAAGUCUCCUGUGAGUGGGGCUGAGAGGGACUUUUGGCAAAAUAACCACCUACUCCUCCCAGAGCCCAGUGCACUGGGACGUGCUCUUCUUGGUCACUCUGGAAAUGUGCAAGCCUCACACCAGUGCUUGAGCUGCCCGUGUUGGACCUGAAAGCUGGGCUCACAGAACCAGUUCCAGGUGGCCUGGGAAGAUGUUGAGGGUGCCAGCUCCCAGGUCCUGGUGGCUGUGAAAUGAUUUGAUUGUAGAUGAUUAGGUUUAUGGGGGUUUCUGUGGGGUUUUGUUUUUUACUUUCCUUUUGAAAUAAUUAGACUCACAGGUAGUUGUAAAAAUAGUACAUAAGAGUACUGGGAUCUCUCCCCCCAAGUUUCCGCCAGUGGAGACAUUUUCUAUAGCUCAAGAUCAAAAUCAGGUCAUUGACAAUGGUAUGUUACUGUGACCGCUAACUGGUUUACAGGCCUUAAUCAGUUCUCGCCGUUUUCUCAUGCCUUCACUUAUGUGUGUUGUUUGUACAGUUCUUGCUGUUUUUUUUUUUUUUUUUUUAAGAUUUUAUUUAUUUAUUUGAGAAAGAGAGAAUGAGAGAGAGAAAGCACAUGAGAGGGGGGAGGGUUGGAGGGAGAAGCAGACUCUGCCGAGCAGGGAGCCCGAUGCCGGACUCGAUCCCGGGACUCCAGGAUCAUGACCUGAGCCGAAGGCAGUCGCUUAACCAACUGAGCCACCCAGGCGCCCUAGUUCUUGCUGUUUUAUCCCAUGCAUGGGUUUGUGUAACCACCCCCACAAUCACAGUACAAAACCGUUUACAGAACAUAUUUAUAAACUUAGUUGUGAGGCACAUAGUGUAGUGAGUUAUUACCAGUUUUGUUAAUCAAAGCACUGCCCAUCUGCCUCGAGGCUGGAGGUAUUAAUUUGAUGUGUCUGCAGGCCUGUGAGCAUUUGGACCCCUUGUGUGUGCAUCUCCAAGGUCCGAUCUAGACCUGGACCCCAUGCAGUGGCAGUCUUGGGUGGCGGUGGUGCUUGUGAUCCAUAGGCACGGCAUUCUGCGUCCGGGGUUUGGGAUCAGGGUGUUUCUCUGAGCUGGAGAGCAGGAGUAAAGCAAGACAGAGUUGGGGAACAAGGGCAGCGUCCAACUCUUGGGGGUCCAGAGCCUCACAGGGGUGAGAGGACAGUUAGGGAAUAAGGAGACGCCCUGGCCAGGCCUGGGCAGACCUGGUGGGGGAUGUAAGGAAAGGUCAUCUUUUGGUGGGCAUGGAGGUCCCCGGGGGCCUUGCUUGUCCUUCCCUGCAUCCCUGAGUUGACUGUGCUGCUGGGCCUGGCUUCCAGAUGCAAGAUAGGAAUCAUAGUUGCUCCACGGCCUUGCUCAUCUGAGGUCUGAUUACCAUGGUAGGUAAUGGUAUAAUGGUAGGUACCAUUUAGAAAUUCCAGGGCAGGGCGCCUGGGUGGCUCAGUUGGUUGAGCGACUGCCUUCGGCUCGGGUCAUGAUCCCAGGGUCCUGGGAUCGAGUCCCGCAUUGGGCUCCCUGCUCUGCGGGGAGCCUGCUUCUCCCUCUCCCACUCCCCCUGCUUGUGUUCCCUCUCUCGCUGUGUCUCUCUCUGUCAAAUAAAUAAAUAAAAUCUUAAAAAAAAAAAAAAAAGAAAUUCCAGGGCACCCUCAAAACUAUGGUGGUAACUUUCUCCCAAAUCCAUGUGUUGAUUGUGUCUUUGGCACCUCUCCGUUUACCAGGACAUCUGAUUAAAUGGAACACUUCGUUCUCUAACCACGUAGGAUAACGGCGCUUACUGUAUCUGGGUUUAUGGUUUUAGCCAUUUGGGGAUGCUGGUGCACAAUUAUCUGUUUUUAUUUUUUUGUUGGCGGCUCUUUCCUGUUUCUUUGGUUAAGGUUUUCAGCUAAGUACUUAACCUUUAUAGUCAGAGAUAACACUCUGGUCCACACCUGCAGUCACGCACCCCACUGCCCUUUUCUCUUGGCUGAAGCCAGCGACGUGGGGCUGCCAGGUGGUAAGAACUAGUAGCUGGUACAUGACCAGCCCCCAUAAGCCAGUGCGGGGACGCUAGGCUGAGAUACAGAGGGGCACGGGGAAGGAUGGUUUGAUUAGGUAGGCCCACCCUAGUCCCUGCAGGGGCUCGUUAACCCAAGUAGAUGUGGGGCCGGUGCCGGGGAAUUGGGGUGCCUGAGUGCUGCCAAGUAUGAGCACCAUCCACUGGCUGUCUGGGUGUAGACAAGACUUAGGAGCAACAACCCUGGCCCAGGCAGGUUAUCAGAGGAAGGCCUCAAACCCAUUUGUAAAUAUACUUUUAAAAAAAAUUAUGUAUUUAUUUUAGAAAGAGAGAGUGAGCAUGCGUGCACACGAGCAGGAGGGGAAGAGGGUAAAGGAGAGAGAAUCUCAAGCAGACUCUUUACUGAGCACGGAGCCCGACUUGGGGCUCAAUCCCAUGACCCUGAGAUCAUGACCUGAACCAAAACCAAGAGUCAGACGCUUAACCGACUGCACCACCUAGGUGCCCCUGUGAUACGCUUCUUGAAACUAAGCUUGUGGCAGGAGGCCAAGGUUGCCACCAUCCCAGGACAGAAAUCGAAUUGAGCUAACAUCCCACCUCCAUUUCCUUCACUCACCUUACCCUGCCCAUUCCUAUCAGUUCCAUCUUCUAAAGACACCGUCACUUUGUGACUUCAUUUCUGGGAAAGCGGCUUCACACACCGAGUCUGAACUUCCCUGACUGAUUCUCCAGGUCUCUCCUGUCUGACCUCACCCAGUUGGAUCAGCCUCACUUCUGACCAGUCCCAAACCCUACCCCUUCCCCACACUUCACGUGCUUCUCCUUCCCUUCCAGAUGCCAUCCCAUGACAUUCAGUCCCUUUUCUAACAAUAUUGGCUUUGAUGACCUGAGCUCCAGAGGAGUCUGCUGUCACAUUUCCCCCAUGUACCUCAUAGUCCAACACACUUGCUUUGUGUUACGUCACUGUAUUGCCUUAUGACUUCUGUGUUUUUAUCCAUAUAUCUAUAUGUGAUGCAUGAACAAGACAAAGCCUAUUGUGUUGUUCUCUGGUUGUUUUUGUGCUUAGGCUUUCUCUCUGACUAGGGGAGGACAGGACCCCCGUGCGAUAGUUUUGGUCUGCCCUGGGCACCCAAUGCACACCCAGUGUGCAUUCUCCAUCAGUGCUUGUUGAGUGAGGGAUGCAGUCGACUCCCAUCAUGAAGUGCCAGACGGCUCCGGUCUGGGUCCUUAUUCUGUAGGCUCUUCCAAAGCAGACUGGGGUCUGUAACUACAGGCUCCCUGUUUAGUAGUCGUUAGGCUGGAAUGCAAGGGGCUGGCAAUCAGAAUAUUUUAGCGAAUGGCUCGGUUGUACUUGAGCCUGAGAUAGUUAAACUCGCUUUGAGAUAACUGAAAGAUCAGAAUUGAGAAAAAAGAACAAUAUUUUCUUGUAAUUAAAAAUUGAGGUAGGGAUGCCUGGGUGGCUCAGUUGGUUAAGCAUCAGGCUCCUUGCUCAGCCGGGGAGCCCGCUUCUGCCUCUCUCUGCCACUCCCCCUGCUUGUGCUCUCUCUCCAAGUUCUCUCGCUCUCUGACAAAUAAAGUCUUUAAAAAACAAAAAGUUGAGGUAGCUGAAACCUUUCUGCACACUUGAGCCUGGCAAGGUCUAUUUGAAAGGUAAGUAUCUCGGAGGGAGGAAGAUGAGGUCCUAAGGGCCAACUGUUAGCUAACUCUCGGGGAGGGCUCCCUUAGCCCAGCAAGUGGAGAUGCUCUGGACCGCUUUCCCUGCAGUGUGGAGACAUGAGCUGGCUCUCCUCUCCUGUGCCGUCUUAGGGUCGGGGCAGAGACCAUGCAUUUCUUAGGUGGGCCUCAUUUUCAGAAGCAUCAAGCCUGGCAUUUUCAACAAAGUGAGCAAUCCCUGCCUAUAGGAAUAAGUCAGUUUGGGCAGGAGGGGGCAUGUCCUAUGUUUUCAUCAAAAGAAAAUUGAGCAGUAGAGAAAAUAGAGAUAAAACGAUUUUAAGGAGCAAGUAACCCUCCCUGCUCAUGGUGUAGAGCACCAAAUCACAGGGUGUUCCCGGCUGCCAUUACCCUGCUCUGAUACAAGCCAGAAUUUCCAGUUAUAUUCAGUAGCUCCUUUUUGGGUCACUUUUGCCCCUGCUUUCCUGCUGCUAUUCAAAGACUUCCCUUAUUGUAAAGGGCGAGAGUCCUCUCUGAUUCUUCUUAACCUCUCUGCUAAUUCGAGCAGCUUCUCUCUCAUACAAACUUAGGACUGAACAUCUCAGGAAAGAAAAACAGGGCCCAGGAAACUCACCCAGAGUGGAGUUUGAAAAUUAGUUUUUCCCACCUGCGCAGGAAGCCAGCACCAGUCGGUGUGAAAGGACUCUCUCUUCUCUCCCCUUUAGUCACUCCCAGAGUGGAGCCUCGGCAGGAGGAUGGGCAGGCAGCCUGUGGACAGAAUUCCCUUGACUUUUCCUGCCUAGGAACAUCUUAGGAAAAUGCACUCCUUGAAAUUUUUUAUUUGCACCUGCCGAAAACAUAGCAAGGCAGUGGUUUUUCACACUCUGGGGAAGGAUUGUGUAGGAAUGAUGUGCAGUGGGCGGGGGGA